UGUCUCUGGGCUCUGCUCCGCUGUCUCUGGGCUCUGCUCCGCUGUCUCUGGGCUCUGCUCCGCUGUCUCUGGGCUCUGCUCCGCUGUCUCUGGGCUCUGCUCCGCUGUCUCAGGGCUCUGCUCCGCUGUCUCAGUCAGGGCUCUUGGCUUGCGUACUGUUACGUUUUGGUGACUCUUGUCUGGGGACAAUUAGUCAACUCCUGGGAGAGAGCCUGGCAAAAAACAAAAAAAAUCUCUUCUCACCCCCUCGCCCUCCAUCGCCUAUGAUUGGUGACGGAGGGCCAGGCAGAGUGAGCAUCCUAAAUGCCAUCCUAUUCCCUAUAUUGUGCACUACUUUUGAUCAGAAUCCCAUAGGGCUCUAUGCACAACAUAGGGAACAGGUUGCUGUUUGAGACGCAGCCAGUGUGCAGCAGAUGUUUCUGUAACUGCUCAGAGAACACCAGAGGUAGCAUGAGGCCAGGAAUGGGAAUGAGCAAGAGUCAUUGUACAAAAAGAGAGGAAACUGUUGGGCAUGUGGGUAUGUUAUGAUGAUCACUUUUCUUGGAAUGUGCCCAAUGAGAGAGAGACACACUACAGUCUACUGCCAGCCCUGUGGCUGUUUGUUGUCACGCUGCCAUGUUUGUUCCUAUGUAACGAGAGAACAGGGUGCUGGAGGUGUCAAGGAGGAUUAGGUCAGUCUAGUGGAUGUCAUAAGGUGAAUGCACCAAUUUGUAAGUCGCUCUGGAUAAGAGCGUCUGCUAAAUGACUUAAAUGUAAAUGUAAAUGUGACAGAACAGGGUGCUGGGGCUGUCAAGGAGGAUUAGGUCAGUCUGACAGAACAGGGUGCUGGAGGUGUCAAGGAGGAUUAGGUCAGUCUGACAGAACAGGGUGCUGGAGGUGUCAAGGAGGAUUAGGUCAGUCUGACAGAACAGGGUGCUGGAGGUGUCAAGGAGGAUUAGGUCAGUCUGACAGAACAGGGUGCUGGAGGUGUCAAGGAGGAUUAGGUCAGUCUGACAGAACAUGGUGCUGGAGGUGACAAGGAGGAUUAGGUCAGUCUGACAGAACAGGGUGCUGGAGGUGUCAAGGAGGAUUAGGUCAGUCUGACAGAACAUGGUGCUGGAGGUGUCAAGGAGGAUUAGGUCAGUCUGACAGAACAGGGUGCUGGAGGUGUCAAGGAGGAUUAGGUCAGUCUGACAGAACAGGGUGCUGGUGGUGUCAAGGAGGAUUAGGUCAGUCUGACAGAACAGGGUGCUGGUGGUGUCAAGGAGGAUUAGGUCAGUCUGACAGAACAUGGUGCUGGAGGUGUCAAUGAGGAUUAGGUCAGUCUGACAGAACAUGGUGCUGGAGGUGUCAAUGAGGAUUAGGUCAGUCUGACAGAACAUGGUGCUGGAGGUGUCAAGGAGGAUUAGGUCAGUCUGACAGAACAGGGUGCUGGUGGUGUCAAGGAGGAUUAGGUCAGUCUGACAGAACAGGGUGCUGGAGGUGUCAAGGAGGAUUAGGUCAGUCUGACAGAACAGGGUGCUGGAGGUGUCAAGGAGGAUUAGGUCAGUCUGACAGAACAGGGUGCUGGUGGUGUCAAGGAGGAUUAGGUCAGUCUGACAGAACAGGGUGCUGGAGGUGUCAAGGAGGAUUAGGUCAGUCUGACAGAACAGGGUGCUGGUGGUGUCAAGGAGGAUUAGGUCAGUCUGACAGAACAGGGUGCUGGAGGUGUCAAGGAGGAUUAGGUCAGUCUGACAGAACAGGGUGCUGGUGGUGUCAAGGAGGAUUAGGUCAGUCUGACAGAACAGGGUGCUGGAGGUGUCAAGGAGGAUUAGGUCAGUCUGACAGAACAGGGUGCUGGAGGUGUCAAGGAGGAUUAGGUCAGUCUGACAGAACAGGGUGCUGGAGGUGUCAAGGAGGAUUAGGUCAGUCUGACAGAACAGGGUGCUGGAGGUGACGAGGAGGAUUAGGUCAGUCUGGGAACAUUCACACCGGCCGGCGAUGAACAGUGACACUACACACACACACACAAAAAAAAGAGAGAGCGAUCAAAGAGCUCUGUUCUUUCUGAGUUCUGGCUGCUCUCUGACCAAUAGUUUUAUAGAUGGCUGGUCUGGUGGCUGGUCAGUUCUAGGUCUAUAUCCAUCAAGCCAUGACGUGUGUACAGUACAACCUGCCAACUUGGCCACACAGACAGGCAGAAUGGAGAGAUGGGUUGCUGCUCAGGGUCUCAGAGAGAAAGGUUACUGUUAAGGUUUUAGGAGGUGAGAAAUACCAUUGAACCUGAGACACUGACAUAAAUCAAGGCUCUACUUAGAUCCAAGGGGCCAAAGCUAAGAGGGUACAGACCCACAGACCUGAAAAUAGCUUGUAUGAAGGGAAGGGUAAGUCACUUGUAUGACUUGACGCAGUGGUAACUGGGAAGCUCAAUGUCAAGAACCUAUUGACACACCUUCGUCUCGUUCUAUACUGAUGGGCUUUCCAGAUCAUCCUGAGCAGAGCUGCUAGAAUACACCAGACCUGAAAGUUCCUCACAGCAUUAGUGGAACCUGCAUUAAUGGGAUUAGAACAGGCUGAAAACAUGCUGAGUGUGCGUCAGGGAGGGACCAUAAACAUUCUGAUUAUCACUCACACGAUUUGUCCCUCUUCAGCCAUAAAAUGAAACAAGCCUGUUCCUCCACUUCACUGUAACUGGGCUCUGCACAUUCAUUGCAUAAUAAGCAUUCUCACAACAUUUAGCACAUUUUUCAGGAGACAAUAUUUGCAGUGUGUUGCCUUUCAAAGAGAGGUUGAAUAUAAAUACUCUCAGCUGAUAGUCACAGUAAAUGUCUUUAAUUUUUAUUUUCUUUCAACAUUUUUAUGCAACAGGUUAUUUGAGGAACAUUGUCUAACCAUGAGUGAGGGGUACAAGGUCACCAACACCAGUUUCUCUCUCCCCGUGAUCCUUUCAGCAGGCAGCUCCACUUGACCGCUCAGGUUCACAUUGCCUGCUGCUGUGGAUGUUCCCAGCUUCUCUCUCCCCGUGAUCCUUUCAGCAGGCAGCUCCACUUGACAGCUCAGGUUCACAUUGCCUGCUGCUGUGGAUGUUCCCAGCUUCUCUCUCCCUGUGAUCCUUUCAGCAGGCAGCUCCACUUGACAGCUCAGGUUCACAUUGCCUGCUGCUGUGGAUGUUCCCAGCUUCUCUCUCCCUGUGAUCCUUUCAGCAGGCAGCUCCACUUGACAGCUCAGGUUCACAUUGCCUGCUGCUGUGGAUGUUCCCAGCUUCUCUCUCCCCGUGAUCCUUUCAGCAGGCAGCUCCACUUGACAGCUCAGGUUCACAUUGCCUGCCGCUGUGGAUGUGACACUUCCGCUAUUAAUAGUUGUUUUUCCAAAAGUUCAGCUUUUCUACUUUGGGCCCUGUGUCUACUGUACCAACCACAUAGCUACUCAAUGAAUAGCCUCAUUAAAUUAAGUCCUGCACCACUUCAUCUUAUUGGCUACGUAUUAAAAUGCAAUGUAUUACUACUUUGAUUCAAUCAGGACUAGGCCUGGGAAUUGCCAGGGACAUAACGGUACUGUCAAGAUACUUCGGUGGCGAUAUGAUAUUUAUUGCGACUCUCACGGUUCUAUAUGUAUUGCGAUUCGAUACUGCUUUUAAUAUAUAUUUAUGAUUUGAUAUUCCAGACAUAUUGCUCACUAUUUGUCUAAGCCGAGAGCAUUAGAAAAGUCAUGGAAAUGAAAGUGCUGAAAAGAUUUUGGCUCACUUUAAAAAGAUGGAUUUAUAAUUUAUAUAUUUUUAUUUUACAAAUGGAUAGUUGUAAGUCAAAGUAUUGAUGAUAUAGUAUUGUCCUUUUUUAAUAUUUCGAUAUGUAACUGGAUCCAUUUCCCCAUCACUAAUCACAACUGACCUUACAUCAUGAUUCCCAGCUCUUCCAUAUUUUCAUACAUUAAUGAUUAUCACUAAUGAAACAUUUCAGUGUAUAGUGUUGAAAAUGACCCUCUCUCACUCUGUGUUAUUAACUGAGGAAGAAGGCUGUCCUGGUGUGACCAGAAGAAUACCCAGCUGACUGAGUGAACCAGUUCCACACUGUGACUGCACAGGGAGGGAGGGGAAGAGUGAGGGUUGGAGGGAUACAGAUGAUUAACAGUAAUUAUUAUUUUCACUGACCUGAGUGAAAUGACGGGGAUUGACUUUGUGUGCAUCCCAAAUGGCACCCUACUCCCUAUUUAGUGCACUACUUUUGACCAUGACCCAUAGGAUUCUGGUCAUAAGUAGUGCACUAUUCAAGAGAAUAGGGUUCCAUUUGGGAUGCACAUGUUGAAGAACGAGGCACGCGUUGAAGAACGAGGCACGCGUUGAAGAACGAGGCACGCGUUGAAGAACGAGGCACGCGUUGAAGAACGAGGCACGCGUUGAAGAACGAGGCACGGCAGCAACCCUUUCCAAUCGCCACCUGUCCGUCUGCUUCCAUGGAUUUUAUUUUUUUUCCAUCAGUGGUGAAUCCCACAUUUGACCUCCAGAUGAAUCUUCUGUUGAAUCUGUGUUUAGCACUGUGUGAUGUGUCAUGGGCAAUGUGAAAUGAGCCUUACGUUGGGGGCAUUCAGAAUGUUAUAGCCUACACUGAGUAUGCUAUUACUUUGGCGUUUUGUAGUGGGAAACCAAUAAAUGUUUUAGUUUUUUUUUGUAAACUGUCUCACGUUAAUACUACAGACACAGAGGAAUGUCUUAUCAGCCUACAUACCAGACCUGUUUGCUAUCAUUCCACUCCUUGCCACUCCUUGUCAUAUGACAAACAAAAAUGUCCAAACUAAUUCAUUGCCUACUUCAAGUAACUUGUGAUGCAUGAACUUUUUUAAACAAGUCCUGUAAAAUGUAGGCUAAUGGGGACCAUUGACUGAAGUACACAAUAUAUACAAAAGUAAGUGGACACCGCUUCAAAUUUGUGGAUACCGCUAUUUCAGCAACACCUGUUAGUGACAGGUGUAUAAAACCGAGCACACAACCAUGCAAUCUCCAUAGACAAACAUUCACAGUAAAAGGGCCUUACUGAAGAGCUCAGUGACUUUCAACAUGGCAUCGUCAUAGGAUGCUGCCUUUCCAACAAGUUAGUUCGUCAAAUGUAUAGAGCUGCCCUGGUCAACUGUAAUAGAUGUUAUUGUGAAGUGGAAAUAUCUAUGCAUAACAGCGUCUCAGUCGUGAAUUGGUAGGCCGCACAAGCUUACAGAACGGGACCGCUGAGUGUUGGGCGUAAAAAAUCUGUCCUCGGUUGCAACACUCCGUACCAAGUUCCAAACUGCCUCUGGAAGCAUCGUCAGGACAAGAAAUGUUAGUUGGGGAGUUUCAUGAAGUGGGUUUUCAUAGCCGAACAGCCGUACACAAGCCUAAUAUCACCAUGCGCAAUGCCAAGCAUCGGCUGGAGUGGUCUAAAGCUCACCGCCGUUGGACUCUGAAGCAGUGGAAACGUGUUCUCUAGAGUGACUAAUCACGCUUCACCAUCUGGCAGUCCGACUGACGAAUCUGGGUUUGGCGUAUGCCAGGAGAACGCUACCUGCCCCAAUGCAUAGGCCCCCUUGCUUCCAGUGAAGGGAAUUCUAGACGAUUCUGUGCUUCCAACUUUGUGGCAAUGGUUUGGUGAAGACUCUUUCCUGUUUCAGCAUGACAGUGCCCCCGUGUACAAAGUGAGUUUCAGACAGAAAUGGUUUGUUGAGAUCGGUGUGGAAGAACUUGACUGGCCUGCACAGAGCCAUGACCUCAACCCCAUUGAACACCUUUAGGAUGAAUUGGAACGCCAACUGCGAGCCAGGCUUAAUCGCCGAACAUCAGUUCCCUGAACUCACUAAUGCUCUUGGGGCUGAAUGGAAGCAAGUCCCCGCAGCAAUGUUCCAACAUCUAGUGGAAUGCCUUCCCAGAAGAGUGGAGGCUGUUAUAGAAUCAAAGGGGGGACCAACUCCAUGUUAAUGCCCCCGGUUUUGGAAUGCGAUGUUCGACGAGCAGGUGUCCGCAUACUUUUGGUCAUGUAGUGUAGCAUGCGUUGUUCCUAAACCAGGCUUUAUCUCCAUCAGGAACAGCGUUGCUCCUUGCUAUCUCAAGGCCAUCAGACUGUUAAACAGCCACCACUAACAGUGUGAGUGGCUGCUGCCAACACACUGUCAUUGACACUGACCCAACUCCAGCCAUUUUAAUAAUGGGAAUUGAUGGGAAUUAUGUAAAUAUAUCACUAGCCACUUUAAACAAUGCUACCUUAUAUAAUGUUACUUACCCUACAUUAUUCAUCUCAUAUGCAUAUGUAUAUACUGUACUCUACAUCAUCGACUGCAUCCUUAUGUAACACAUGUAUCACUAGCCACUUUAACUAUGCCACUUUGUUUACUUUGUCUACACACUCAUCUCAUAUGUAUAUACUGUACUCGAUACCAUCUACUGUACCAUCACUCAUUCAUAUAUCCUUAUGUACAUGUUCCUUAUCCCCUUACACUGUGUAUAAGACAGUAGUUUUGGAAUUGUUAGUUAGAUUACUUGUUGGUUAUCACUGCAUUGUCGGAACUAGAAGCACAAGCAUUUCGCUACACUCGCAUUUAACAUCUGCUAACCAUGUGUAUGUGACAAAUAAAAUUUGAUUUGAUUUGAAUAGCAGUGACCAUAAUAUCAGGGUCGUUCCAUGUCAUUUCAGCAAGCCAUGUCAACAGCUCAGAUUGUUCUGAGAUCAUCUCUGUAGUUAGAAACAUAAGAUUAGCAUUCCUGCAACAUUAUUUUGUUGAAAUAUCAUAUUUGAUCUCUGAGAUUAAUAUUCAUUAACUUCAUAGCAAAGGAUUGUCUUAUGAUUUGACGGGUGCAUGUGCGUAGUUUGGUGUGAGAUGGCCUGUAGACCCAAUAACAUGUUUCUGCACAUGCGCUUAGCUAGCCAACGUCACCAUGACUUCACCUACAAGUGUUAUCAGGGACCACUAUGGAAAGAUGACUCUCAUGAACACGAUGGCGUUCUCCGGUUUGCUUUACGAUCCCUGUGUGCAACUGGCAAAGCAAUAGAUUUCUCAGGACAUACCAAAAGCAGUAGGCCUAAUUCUGGUAUAGCAGCAGGCAGUGUGUUCUACUGUCCUGUAAAUCACUCAACUGAAUAUCUAUUUUAACCAAAGAUUCCUACCAUAACUUGGUCAAAGCAAGGAAAUUAGUUCUCCCACUACUUUCACUUCAUUUUUGUCCACAGCCAUAUCUCCCUGUUGUACCUCUGUUCACACUGCACCUUAGCCCAGGGCUAACCGCUUCCCUGGGCUCAGGGAGAUUUUAGCCUGGGGCUGAGAUCACACUUGCACAUUCUAAAGUGGGCUAGCACCAAUCUUAUCCUAGGACUAGCUGGCUCUGCUCUGGAGCAGGGUUAGCACUGACUUUUCAGGGUUCGUCCCAGAAACACGGUGCCAAAAUAGCCAGUAUGAAACGGGGUCAAGAACAACGCCUAGAAUCCUCACUGUCCAAUCACAAAGCUGCACUGUCACUUAAUAGAUAUGCCUGUAAUCUGUUCUGAAUAUUAUUUUGAUAAGUAAAUUCAUACAAUUUCAUCCUUCCAUUUGAGGACAAAAACCAACAAAUGCUUUCAACAGGGCAAAAACGUUUAGUUGCUAUGCCUAACAAAAAUGGUUGCUAUGCAGCAGACUGGCUAACAUCUUCUCUAAAGCUGCAAACACUACAGCUGGAAGGGCAGCAAAUGCUAAAUUUGUCUGUUUUCAGAGCUUUUUAUUUGCAUUACAAUUGGCUAUAUCCAUGAUGCUGAUAAUAUUGUUGUGAUUUUUGCCUGGAUCAGAAAAGUUUGUCGUUCAUGCACAGAAUUCUCUGCACAGUGGCAAGAUACAAGUUUUGGUACAGUGCUUGGAAUACAAGUGUGAAUCCUUAGCCCAGGGCUAAAGUUUAGCCCAGGGUUAAGAAAGGCUUGUGUGAACACAGGCUAAGCUAGCCCAGGACCAGUCUUGUCAUAACAGCCUGGUGCUAAGAACAAUGCAGUUUGAAAAGGCCUCUUGUGAACCUGUCCAGAGAGGCUUGGAUACCAAGCUAAACUCCUGGGUAGCUGCCCUUCUGCAGCAGUAUGUUAGUUCACUAAUCUACCACAAUAUAACUCCUGAUGCGCUCAACUGCACCUCAGGACCUUGUUUGGCUGAAUCAGCUGUAAGCCCAAAUUCACUGCUUAUACUUGCAUAACUUUCUGAGCUGGAUUUCCUGUUUUGUCAUUUAGUUUAUUUUUCUUUUCUGCUCAUUAGCAUAUUUAGCUAUCAGCCUCUAUUGAAAUUUGCUGUUAGUUUAUGCUAGAUUUGUCAGCAUUCUUAUAAUAGAUGACCAAUGCGAUUUUUUUUUGUUUUUUUAGCUCCCCUUGUGUACCAAGAUGGGAAUACAGUUCAUCCCUGGAUGAGAGAAGGACAUGAAGGUUGUGAGGAUUCUCGAUACCAUACUGUCUCGCGAAAACCAUGUGUUAACGUAGCUAGAACAAACUGUGGCUCAAAGCAUCCUCCUAAAUGUUUUUAGUCAGACAUUCACACUUGCCAUACAGACUUCAAAUAUCUAGCCAAUACAUUUUGAAUCGAAUAACAUUGCUUGUGAACUUCAGAGCUGUCAUGAUUUGAUGCUUUGGUUCUUGGCCAAUACAAACACAUUUUAGUAGUAUUCAUCGCUCCUGCUUGUGUCUAUACAUUCUGGGUGAUGCGAUAUGUCUUCAUUGGCUUUUUCUCUGGCAAGCUCUCAUUUGACUAUUGCUGAUUUGUUCUAAAAACUAGUUGUUGCACAUCUCACUACAAGAGCAUUGCAGAAUCUGUACAGAUAAAAACCAACGUGUUUGAAAAUAUCGGGACGUCUGGGACUGCUCAAAGACUGGAUCGAUAGCUCGCAUUUAAACGAGGGUCAGUGACGUCUGCGCACCACCGAGUAGGCAACAACGUGCAGAUUUUGUCUCCGAUCUCAACUUGUCUGGGACAGCUAAAUCAGGAAGAAAAUUGUGCAGUGUGCGCCCGGCUUUAGGGUUGGCCGCCUCAGGCUAAUAUACGAACUAUGGGGUUAGAGGUCCGUGCUCUGUCUCCUCCUGUGAAGACUUUAUUUACAGUCGGAUUCCCAUGGUGUGGCACCAUAUUUCCUGUAUAGUGCACUUAAUAGGGAAUGGGGUGCCGUUUUGGGAUGCGUGUGUUCUAAUGGCUCAGACCUCAGGUCAAACCGACUGACGUGCCCUGACGUGGUGAGGUCUUCCUUGGCUCUGUCAGUCUGGGGUCAGUGUUUUACAAGCGUUCCAUCCCGAGAAUAAAUAAUUUAUUCUCCUGAUUUAACCUGGUAUUUCCUGCCCAAACCAGAAGUGUCAUUCAAUAGCAUUAUGAAGCAUAUAUAAUUUUUUUUUUUUUGCCUUCUCACCUCAUUUGCUCACAUUGUGUAUAUAUAAUUAUUUUUUUACUUUAUUAUUGACUGUAUGUUUGUUUUACUCUGUGUAACUCUGUUGUGUCUAUAACUGCUUUGCUUUAUCUUAGCCAGGUCGCAAUUGUAAAUGAUAACUUGUUCUCAACUUGCCAACCUGGUUAAAUAAAGGUGAAAUAAAAAAUAUA